rnacentral:rRNA from 1 species
AGGCGGUGGAUCAUGUGGUUCAAUUCGACGCUACGCGAAGAACCUUACCUGGGCUCGAACGACUAGUGGUACCCUUUAUGAAAGUAGAGGGGACCCGCAAGGGAGCUAGCCGAGGUGCUGCAUGGUUGUCGUCAGCUCGUGUCGUGAGAUGUUGGGUUAAGUCCCGCAACGAGCGCAACCCCUGUCCUGUGUUGCUACUCCGCAAGGAGAGGACUCUCAGGAGACUGCCGUGGAUAACACGGAGGAAGGUGGGAUGACGUCAAAUCAUCAUGGCCUUUAUGUCCAGGGCUACACACGUGAUACAAUGGUACAGACAGAGGGCUGCAAGACCGUAAGGUGGAGCCAAUCCCUAAACUGUAUCCCAGUUCAGAUCGAGGGCUGCAAUCCGCCCUCGUGAAGUUGGAAUCGCUAGUAAUCGCAGAUCAGCAGGCUGCGGUGAAUACGUUCCCGGGCCUU